GACGAACGCUGGCGGCGUGCUUAACACAUGCAAGUCGAGCGGUAAGGCCCUUCGGGGUACACGAGCGGCGAACGGGUGAGUAACACGUGGGUGACCUGCCUCUAGCUCUGGGAUAAGCCUGGGAAACUGGGUCUAAUACCGGAUAUGACUCCACGGCGCAUGUUGUGGGGUGGAAAGCCUUGUGUGGCUAGAGAUGGGCCCGCGGCCUAUCAGCUUGUUGGUGGGGUGAUGGCCUACCAAGGCGACGACGGUAGCCGGCCUGAGAGGGCGACCGGCCACACUGGGACUGAGACACGGCCCAGACUCCUACGGGAGGCAGCAGUGGGGAAUCUUGCGCAAUGGGCGAAAGCCUGACGCAGCGACGCCGCGUGAGGGAUGACGGCCUGGUGUAACU
rnacentral:rRNA from 1 species